AUUGAACGCUGGCGGCAGGCCUAACACAUGCAAGUCGAGCGGAGCGGCGGACGGGUGAGUAAUGCCUAGGAAUCUGCCUGGUAGUGGGGGAUAACGUCCGGAAACGGGCGCUAAUACCGCAUACUAUCAGAUGAGCCUAGGUCGGAUUAGCUAGUUGGUGGGGUAAAGGCCUACCAAGGCGACGAUCCGUAGCUGGUCUGAGAGGAUGAUCAGCCACACUGGAACUGAGACACGGUCCAGACUCCUACGGGAGGCAGCAGUGGGGAAUAUUGGACAAUGGGCGCAAGCCUGAUCCAGCCAUGCCGCGUGUGUGAAGAAGGCCUUCGGGUUGUAAAGCACUUUCAGUGGGGAGGCGUUACCCGCAGAAGAAGCACCGGCUAACUUCGUGCCAGCAGCCGCGGUAAUUC
rnacentral:rRNA from 1 species